GCAAGUCGAGCGGUAACAUUUCAAAAGCUUGCUUUUGAAGAUGACGAGCGGCGGACGGGUGAGUAAUGCCUAGGAAAUUGCCCUGAUGUGGGGGAUAACCAUUGGAAACGAUGGCUAAUACCGCAUGAUGCCUACGGGCCAAAGAGGGGAACGUCGGGCCUCUCGCGUCAGGAUAUGCCUAGGUGGGAUUAGCUAGUUGGUGAGGUAAUGGCUCACCAAGGCGACGAUCCCUAGCUGGUCUGAGAGGAUGAUC
rnacentral:rRNA from 1 species